UGGGGAAUAUUGCGCAAUGGGGGAAACCCUGACGCAGCAACGCCGCGUGCGGGAUGAAGGCCUUCGGGUUGUAAACCGCUUUCAGCAGGGAAGACAUCGACGGUACCUGCAGAAGAAGCCCCGGCUAACUACGUGCCAGCAGCCGCGGUAAUACGUAGGGGGCGAGCGUUAUCCGGAUUCAUUGGGCGUAAAGCGCGCGCAGGCGGUUGCUCAAGCGGAACCUCUAAUCUCGGGGCUUAACCUCGAGCCGGGUUCCGAACUGGACGACUCGAGUGCGGUAGAGGCAGAUGGAAUUCCCGGUGUAGCGAUGGAAUGCGCAGAUAUCGGGAAGAACACCAGUGGCGAAGGCGACUUUCUGGACGAACACUGACGCUGAGGCGCGAAAGCCAGGGGAGCGAACGGG
rnacentral:rRNA from 1 species